rnacentral:rRNA from 1 species
UCGUCUUUUGUUAACUCAAACAUAAAAGAUAAUGCCUGCCCAGUGAAUACCUAUAUUUUAACGGCCGCGUUAGCGUGAGCGUGCUAAGGUAGCGUAAUAAAUAGCCUUUUAAUUGAAGGCCAGUGAAUGGCAAGACUAGGAAUACCUUUACCAGAUAUGUAAGAAAAACUUUUCAUUUGAGUGAAAAGACUCAAAUACUUAAGGAAGACGAAAAGACCCCGCGGAGCUUAACUUAAUAAAUUUUAUUACAUAAACAAUAAAACUUUAAAAGUUUGAUUGGGGCAAUCUUGGAACAACUAUAACUUCCAAUUUUUUUAAAAAAAUAUACAAAGCUUACUAAGAACUAAAAAGCAGCUACCCCGGGGAUAACAGCGUCAUCCAGCUUAAGAGUACACAUCGAAAGCUGGGUUUGCGACCUCGAUGUUGGCUUAAGGGUAUCCACAUAAGUGCAGCCGCUAUGAAAGGAUAGUCUGUUCGACUAUUGCACCCUUA